GCCUAACGUAAGCAAUGGGCGGGGGAAAGGGAGUGAAUGUCAGGAAGGAUGAAGACCGAGAAGGAGGGGGAGGAGCUGACAGUGGUUGCGUCCGAGCCAACCACAAAAAAAAAAAAAAGGUAUAAAGAGGCGCGCGUGCGCACUUGCUUGCUGCCCCGGGAGCUGCCAGGCGGCGAGUGGGAGUCACGUGAUCCAGACAGCGACCGCGCCCCGCGGGGGCUUUUCGGGUGCUUCCAGGUCCCAAGCGACGCCCAGCUGAAUCAGGCCGCCGGGGGCGCGCUUCGCUGUGCUGGGGGUUAGCCUGCUGACUCCAGCCCCUUUGGAAAAAGGCUGGCGGGACUUGAGAAAGUGAUUAAGAUGCCCAACUCGUGUCCAAGUUUGCAAAGUGCUCCCCUACCUGUUUUAUUGAAGAGUCCCAUUUCUCAGGUGGGCAAGGACCCCGAGUGCUUUUCUGCCUCGCGGUUUUUGCUCGGCCGGUACCCUGCUUCUGGAAUCUUUUCCUUCUCAGCUCUCAAAGGCUCUGCUCCAGUGGCCGGUAAGCUCAGAGCCCUGGUCAGACCAGCGUCGUUAAGGUAGCGCCCUCCACACUCUGUCCUAUUGCCUGAUUUUAUUUUUUCACACCUUGUGUCACUGUCACUGACAUGAUCUUACAUUACGUAAGUGUUUACUUACCUGUCUCCUCUCACCGAAAGAAAAGUGCGUUCUGUGAGGGCCGGCAUCUUGGCAGUCUUGAUGCUGCCUGAAUCUUAAAAGUAGGGUUUAGGAAGAAAGCAGGACGCGGGCCUUGGCAGAAAGGACGUGCCAGGCAAAAGUAGGGGUCAUGGUGACACCCCAAGUUCUUCGGGGCUCACCGGCAUGGGAGGGAGGAGUAAGUAGGACACUGUCGAUCCAGUGUUAGAGGCACACAGCCUAGGCUUUACCUGUGCUGUAUGGGCACUAUAAAAACACAAUCUAUUGAUUGCAUAAUAUGAAAACAAAAAAAACUUUUUUCAGUGAUUGCAAUAGAAAAAUUAAUGUAUUUUUUUGUGGUAAGAGAUUUUUCUGAGACCUUUUCCUAACUUAAAAGAUGUAUUAGGCAGCUUGUUAGAAAACUAUGUUUUAAAGAUUUUCCCAUUUGUAAUACAUCUUGGACAUAUGCAGGUGUGUUUUCCUACAUAUAUAUAUAUAACAAUAACAAUAUUAUGCACAGCAGUAAUAGUAGUAUAACUCCAUUGGAGUUCCUGGACCCAAUUCCAAUGUAAGUAUGUGGGAGGGGAGUCUUUCGACACAUAGCCACCAAGAGAUUCUUGAACACCAAGCCGGGUGUUGGAGAAUUCAACUCAAUUCUGAUGCUGUCUCCAGGCAGAUUCCCCAGGUUAAGGUCUCCAUCCUACAAGACUGCCCCCCGCCCCCCACUCCAGGUGCCCCAGGCAGUUAACCUGUGCUUCUGACCUACCUGCUACAGAUUGGAGGUUCCCACAACUUCCCCCUCAGGUUUGAUUAAUUUGCUAGAGCAGCUCAAAUAACUCAAGAAAACACAACAGUUUACCAGUUUAAGAAAGGAUACAAGUUAACAGCCAGAUGAAGAGAUACAGACGGCAGGGCCCCAAAUACAAGAGCUUCUGUCCUUGUGGAGCUUAGGGAGGCUCCUCGGCCUGGGGAGGUCUGGUUCCCCAAGCUCGGAGGCCCGCCCACCCACAACGAAGCAGCACCGGAAAGGGCAGAGAACAAUACGCUUUUAUCAGGGUUUUUGUGAGGGCUUUAUGGCAUAGUUAUGAUUGACUAAAUUAUUGGCCAUCUGCUGAUUCAGCCUGCAGCCCCUGCCCUUGGUUGGGGAUCCAAAAGUCUCUCAUUAACAUGACAAGACACCCAUUUCUCUUUUAAGACUGCAGUGUUUUCAGGAACUGUGGAUGAAGACCAAAUAUACCUGGGAAAUACAUAUUUGGUCAUAUAAAUGACCAAAUAUGUAUUUCUUAUGACUCAUUAUAUCACAACGUAUAAUAUGUCUUAGACUUAUCUUGGACAUCUUUUUCCAUGUCAACAAUAUAGUUGCCUCGUUUCUUCUUAUUAACAGACUUAUAGCAUCCCAUGGUAUGGUUGUGUCAUAACGCAUACAACAGUUCUCUACCAAAGGACAUGUAGGUUUUCAGUGCUUUAAGACUACCACAAUGCACAUUCAGCAUUCUUAUACAUUCAUCUCUGCACACUUAUUCAAUUACUUCCUUUAUAUAAAUUCCUGAAGUAGAAUCACUUGGGGAAAACACUGUUUCUCUGUAUCCACUGGUUCUGUUGUUAUGACUACUACAAAAGUACUACGUGUUUCAGCUGAAGAAUUCUCAUUGCACAGAAGAAUGUAAGUGAAAAAUAAGUCACUCUACCUACCACAUUCCAGAUCUUCCUCGAUCCCAUAAGCAAAUACCUUGUAACCUUGGGAAACUGUGUGUAUACGUGUAUGUGUAUAUGUAUAUGUGUAACUACAUACACAUAUGACUCCCCCUUAAAGAAAAUCAUCUUUUUAUGUGCUAUCUUGCAAACUAUUUCCCUUAACAUAAUUUGGGCAUCUUUCCACAUCAGGACAUAAAUUCUUAUAAAGCAUUGUGAAUAUUACAUUGUAUGGAGUGAUUAUAAAGUAUUUAAUUGAUUCCCUCUGAGGGAAAUUAGGUGGUCUUUGGCUCUGGUGAACAAUGCUGUAAUGAACAUCCUUGCAUGUAUGUACAUGUAUGUGCAUACAAAUAUAUAUCCUCAAAAGUAGCAUUUUGGGGUCAAAAGGCAUAAUAAUUAAAUAUCUUAUAAGAGACUUCAAAAAUGCCCUUCAGAAAGGAAGCGCAAUUGGCAUUUUUUCUAUCAAGUUGAGCAUGAUUUUCUGCAGUCUUGUCAAUGGUAUUGGAAAACACUGCACUUUGCUGAUCAAGUAAGGGAAAAAAGGGUGUCUCCUUGUGGUUAUAGUUUUUGAUUAUUCCAGUGUCCCAAGCUGUCUUUGUUGUUGUUUGUUUAUUUUGUUUAUGCUUUUCCAUUGUUUUUACCUUGCAGAUUUAUUUUUAAAUAAGCACAUCUUUUACUUUAUAGCUUCUGAGUUUUGCAUCAGGCUUUGAAAGGCUUUCCACACUCCAAGAUCAUUUGUUAACUAGACUGAAUUAAAACUGAAAUGGCAGUCUGCGUUUUUCCUCACCUAUUUGACUACAGAACAGAAAUGUCAAAACAAUGCAUGAUACCAGGAACUUCUCAUGUUAUAUAAUGCAUGUUCUCAUCACCGGCAACAAAAGCGUACUCAUAGACCAAUUACUGCCAGAAAAGUUCAAAGUUAUACUUACGGGCACGAGCCAAGAGACAUGAGAAAAGACAAAGAAUAUUUAUUGUCAAGUCCAAAAGGGUAAUACAAAUAACUAGAUAAAAUAAAAUAAAUCUUUUAUUUAACGUUUAACAGCAUACAAGUCAGCAAACAUGUUUAAAUAAGAGCAAUGUUUUUGUGUGUUUUAACAUAUCACCUGUUCAAGUUUAGGACCCAUGUGGACACAAUAAAUGCACCCUUGAGUCCAUGCCUGCAUUUCAGUUCUGUUGCAGUAGAAUAUGGCAAGUCCUCUUCUGCACAUGGAGAUUUUAGCAAACCAGAGAACUCCGUUUGCCCAUUUUGCUGCCUUAGGCACUGACUUCAAAAGUUAUGCACCACUUCAUCUUAAAGGCCCCUAUCUUUUCAUGUAUUUAUUGGUCAUUUGUCUUCUUUGGAGAAAUGUCUAUUCAGGUCCUCUGCCCAUGUUUAAAUGGGUUGUCUUUUUAUUACUGUAUUGAGUCAUCAGGUUUCUUUAUACAUUCGAGAUACCAGUCCCUUAUCAGAUACAUGAUUUGCAUGUAUUUUCUCCCCUUCUGUGUGUUGUCUUUCUACUUUCUUGAUAGUGUCCUUGCAGGCACAGAAGUGUUUCAUCUUGAUGUAAUACAGUUUAUCUUUUUUCUUCUGCUGCUUACACACACAUCCUUUUUUAAAGUGAGCUAAAAUCCAUGUAAAAUGACACUAACCAUUUUGUAUAUGUUUGAAAAAAACAAUUUUGUCACAAAGAUACAAGUAGCAUCUUUAAAAAAAAAA